AUGAAGGCCUUAGGGUCGUAAAGCUCUUUCGCCAGGGAUGAUAAUGACAGUACCUGGUAAAGAAACCCCGGCUAACUCCGUGCCAGCAGCCGCGGUAAUACGGAGGGGGUUAGCGUUGUUCGGAAUUACUGGGCGUAAAGCGCACGUAGGCGGAUUAGAAAGUCGGGGGUGAAAUCCCGGGGCUCAACCCUGGAACUGCCUUCUAAACUGCUGGUCUUGAGUUCGAGAGAGGUGAGUGGAAUUCCGAGUGUAGAGGUGAAAUUCGUAGAUAUUCGGAGGAACACCAGUGGCGAAGGCGGCUCACUGGCUCGAUACUGACGCUGAGGUGCGAAAGUGUGGGGAGCAAACAGGAUUAGAUACCCUGGUAGUCCAC
rnacentral:rRNA from 1 species